ACAGAAGUCCUCAAAGCCCUGCAAGAACUCAAUGUUUGUUGGAAGAAAAUUGGUCACUAUAAUAUGAAGUGCAGGUGGAUUCCAGGUAUUCCUGGUCAUCAUGAGGGCAUGGUUAAUGACCCUGUGCAUAAUAAUCAUUUCUUUGGGGAUGAAUCCACCAUUAUCGAGAAUGAUGGAGUCACUAAGUCACCAAAUGUGGUGAAGUUUGAAGUGCAGCUUUACAAAACUCGCGAGGAGAAAUACCUGCUCGACUUACAAAGGGUUCAAGGACCCCAAUUUCUCUUCUUAGAUCUUUGUGCAGCUUUUCUUGCACAACUCCGAGUCCUUUAGCAGGAGAAAGGGUAGACUUUCGAGACCUCUGUCCACAGACCUCUUCUUAUGCCUGUGAAUAAGAAAUCACGGUGUAAAUAACUGUCUUUCAGUCUUAGUCUCAUGUUUACUGCUUUUAAUUUCUCCCUCAAUUUUAUAUGGGUGAUUGUUGUGUAAAAGCCAACAUCCAAAAGCACAAGUUGGCUAACUUACUAUUGAUCUGUUUUGAUAGUCUGUUAUCUCUCGCUAGGAUUUUCCUUAAUACUAUUAACCUUUCUUAGAAAUUAUGAAAUUCCCCAUAAG
rnacentral:misc_RNA from 1 species